rnacentral:rRNA from 1 species
CAGCCGCCGCGGUAAUACGUAGGUGGCAAGCGUUGUCCGGAAUUAUGGGGCGUAAAGGGCUCGCAGGCGGUUUCUUAAGUCUGAUGUGAAAGCCCCCGGCUCAACCGGGGAGGGUCAUUGGAAACUGGGAAACUUGAGUGCAGAAGAGGAGAGUGGAAUUCCACGAGUAGCGGUGAAAUGCGUAGAGAUGUGGAGGAACACCAGUGGCGAAGGCGACUCUCUGGUCUGUAACUGACGCUGAGGAGCGAAAGCGUGGGGAGCGAACAGGAUUAGAUACCCCCGUAGUCCCUGUCUCUUAUAC